AGGUGUCCUCUUCUGCAUGACCAUUUCAUGAUAGUAGUGCAGAUCUGGGCGUGUUUUGUCCCUGGCCCUGAUGGGAAGAGAAGAUGGAAUUUCUGGUUAUUCACUCAGGUCAUUGAAGGCCAGGAUUUGAUCCCCCUUAUGGAAUAGAAGUGAAUCCUGAAUCUGCCGACACUCAGACACACUGGAGAGGAAAAGGAUGAGAGACAAAGAACAAUGAGACACGUAAUACAAUGCGCCUUGUUUAGCUCUGUAGAGGCACAGUUCCCAUUG